rnacentral:ncRNA from 1 species
CUGUCACAACGGCUUCCUGACGUGGCAGCGAAUUUCUAUCGGAGCA